rnacentral:rRNA from 1 species
GUAGGGAAUAUUGGACAAUGGGGGCAACCCUGAUCCAGCCAUGCCGCGUGAGUGAAGAAGGCCCUCGGGUUGUAAAGCUCUUUUGUCCGGAAAGAAAAGCAUUCGGUGAAUACCCGGAUGUUCUGACGGUACCGGAAGAAUAAGCACUGGCUAACUUCGUGCCAGCAGCCGCGGUAAUACGAAGGGUGCAAGCGUUACUCGGAAUUACUGGGCGUAAAGCGUGCGUAGGUGGUUGUUUAAGUCUGAUGUGAAAGCCCUGGGCUCAACCUGGGAAUGGCAUUGGAAACUGGGCAGCUAGAGUGCGGUAGAGGGUAGUGGAAUUCCCGGUGUAGCAGUGAAAUGCGUAGAGAUCGGGAGGAACAUCUGUGGCGAAGGCGACUGCCUGGACCAGCACUGACACUGAGGCACGAAAGCGUGGGGAGCAAACA